rfam:Myotis brandtii contig179543, whole genome shotgun sequence.
GAGACACCCCUAUGGGGCAGGACUUGCUUCAGUGGGGCUUUGGUGCUCACUGAGUCUGCCCCUUGAAUGUGUCUCU